rnacentral:rRNA from 1 species
CCUACGGGUGGCAGCAGUGGGGAAUAUUGGACAAUGGGGGGAACCCUGAUCCAGCCAUGCCGCGUGUGUGAAGAAGGCCCUCGGGUUGUAAAGCACUUUCAGUGAGGAAGAACGCCUGGUGGUUAAUACCCAUCAGGAAAGACAUCACUCACAGAAGAAGCACCGGCUAACUCCGUGCCAGCAGCCGCGGUAAUACGGAGGGUGCGAGCGUUAAUCGGAAUUACUGGGCGUAAAGCGCGCGUAGGUGGCUUGAUAAGCCGGUUGUGAAAGCCCCGGGCUCAACCUGGGAACGGCAUCCGGAACUGUCAAGCUAGAGUGCAGGAGAGGAAGGUAGAAUUCCCGGUGUAGCGGUGAAAUGCGUAGAGAUCGGGAGGAAUACCAGUGGCGAAGGCGGCCUUCUGGACUGACACUGACACUGAGGUGCGAAAGCGUGGGUAGCAAACAGGAUUAGAUACCCUAGUGUC